rnacentral:lncRNA from 1 species
GGAGAAAAUCUGCCUCCCGGGUUCAAGGGAUUUUCCUGCCUCAGCUUCCCAAGUAGUUGGGAUUACAGUUCAAUAUCUGGUUCCUGAAUCAUUUGCCUUCUGAAAGUGCUCACUGGUUGCAAAAGGAAAGAACAACAGCAAGAAUUAUCAUAGGAAACCUUGAAAAUGACUGACCUCUACCCAGCCUCAUGUCUAGACUGGGGAGACCCCUGAGCUGCUGAGA